GACGAACGCUGGCGGCGUGCUUAACACAUGCAAGUCGAACGAUGAAGCCGGAGCUUGCUCCGGUGGAUUAGUGGCGAACGGGUGAGUAACACGUGAGCAAUCUGCCCUUGACUCUGGGAUAACUGCGGGAAACUGUAGCUAAUACCGGAUACGACACCUUGGGGCAUCCCAGGGUGUGGAAAGAAUUUCGGUCAAGGAUGAGCUCGCGGCCUAUCAGAUUGUUGGUGAGGUAAUGGCUCACCAAGUCUAUGACGGGUAGCUGGAUCGAGAGGUUGACCAGCCAGACUGGGACUGAGACACGGCCCAGACUCCUACGGGAGGCAGCAGUGAGGAAUUUUCCGCAAUGGGCGAAAGCCUGACGGAGCGACGCCGCGUGAAGGAUGAAGCUUUUCGGAGCGUAAACUUCUUUUAUGUGGGAAGAUUAUGACUGUACCACAUGAAUAAGGACCGGCUAACUACGUGCCAGCAGCCGCGGUAA
rnacentral:rRNA from 1 species